AUCACUUCCUGGCCUUUUGGCUAAGACCAUAUGUAGUAUCUAUUCUUAUCAGUUUAAUAUGUGAUCAUCCUCUAUCUGAGGACAAUAUAUUAAAGAGAUCUUUGGAUCUGGGAGGUUGAAUAAUAGCUUGCUCCAUCCACUUCACACAUCAAUCUAGUACGGCAGUAAAACACAUGGAAGAAUUGUA
rnacentral:snRNA from 1 species